CAACCAGCAGGCUGUAGGAAGCUGUAGGACAGUGGAAUAAUUUAGUUUCCCUAUAAGCAGUAUGAUUGACGGCAGGUUUUGUUUUUUCUUUUUUUGAUGGUGUCCAGGUACUUAGCCGUCAGGUUGCUAUCAUCCUGCUUAAGUACUGGAAGAUGUUGACACCAUCUGCUGAAGGAGUUUCAGAUCUUAUUGCCGAGAAAUCUCCAACUGGACAUCCCAGUUCCUGUCCUGUUAAGUCUAGAAUUGGAAGUCAGCAAGGCUCUCCACGGCCUGAGAGGGAAGUAAAGGCAUUGCCUGCAACAGAGGGUACUUUAAGAGAGGACAGAUUCCCUGUGACUUCUGCCUGCAGUCCCUAAACCACUCGUCCCUCUUUCAAGUUGAUCGACGGGGAAUCAGAGACGCAGGGGAAAAACGGCGAAGAGCUCGCAGAGUGUGUAGUAGCCAGGGAGGCAGUGUGACGUCUGUCCUGCGUCACCUGCAUGGCUUUCCUCUUCCUGACGUAUCGCCCUGGUCAGCUGACCAACGUGUGCUCAGUUCUGCUGUCUCAGCGAAGACGCCCGCUCUCAGUCCUACUCGCGCUUCCAGCCUCCGGCGCCUCCCAAAGCUCCUGGGCCCCGCCAGCCCCCAUCCGCUCCGUUCUCUCCAGAACCCCCCGCCGAUCACUUUCCCAAAAACUCUUCUUACUGGAAUCAGCGGCAGUUUCCACCCUGCUGAACCCUGGUGCUCCCCUUCUUGUUAGCACCUGCACUUCUCAAACUGAAGAUUCUGCUUAAUUAUUUUUUGCCGCAUUUACGAGUUCCACGUAGUGCUCACUGUGUUCGCCGCCUGCAGAUCGUAGGUGCUCGGUAAACGUUAUCUUCUAAUGAACAAACCCAUUCCUGCUGCUUCCUGCGUUCCAGCUCUCCCGUCUGCAUAAACGUGCUUAAUCAGGCCCCUGUGGGGGUCUGGCCUCUGGAGGGCAGGAGGGUCGCAGGAAGUUGUCUUUGCCACGCUGGGGGGUCUCCGUGGUCUGGAGGGGCUGGCCCCAUCCUCCAGGGAAGCACUGAGAAGUCUGAUUUUUAUCUAGUCGAGUGAUGACUAGCCUGUUACCUUUCUGUUGUUCAGAAGAUACUCUCAUUUCCUUAGCAAGAUAUUGCAAUGAUUAUUUUCCACUAAGGAGGGUGCAGUGAGAUGUUGUGAGCCCCUCAGAGAACCUUACCAAAGAGCUUUACUGUCACUGCCACACACUGGAUUCUUCGGGCCUGUCUUGUAUAUUUAUGAAUGCCUUCUGCUCACAGAGCUUCCAGAACAUCUUCCU